rnacentral:sRNA from 1 species
GCUGGGUGUGGUGGUGCAUGCCUGUAAUCUCAGCGACUUGGAGGCUGAGGCAGGAGGAUUUCGAGUUCAAAGCCAGCCUCAGCAAAGACUAGACACUAAGCAACUCAGUGAGACCCUGUCUCUA